UACGGAGGGUCCAAGCGUUGUCCGGAUUUAUUGGGUUUAAAGGGUACGUAGGCGGGAUAUUAAGUCAGUGGUGAAAGCCUCCAGCUCAACUGGAGAACUGCCAUUGAAACUGAUAUUCUUGAGUAUGGAUGAGGUGGUUGGAAUAUAACAUGUAGCGGUGAAAUGCUUAGAUAUGUUAUAGAACACCGAUUGCGAAGGCAGAUCACUAAACCAUUACUGACGCUGAGGUACGAAAGCGUGGGGAGCGAACAGG
rnacentral:rRNA from 1 species